rnacentral:rRNA from 1 species
AUUGAACGCUGGCGGCAUGCUUUACACAUGCAAGUCGAACGGCAGCGCGGGCUUCGGCCUGGCGGCGAGUGGCGAACGGGUGAGUAAUACAUCGGAACGUGCCCAGUAGUGGGGGAUAGCUCGGCGAAAGCCGGAUUAAUACCGCAUACGACCUGAGGGUGAAAGCGGGGGAUCUUCGGACCUCGCGCUAUUGGAGCGGCCGAUGGCAGAUUAGCUAGUUGGUGGGGUAAAGGCCUACCAAGGCGACGAUCUGUAGCUGGUCUGAGAGGACGACCAGCCACCACGGGAACGGAGACCGGCCCCAGAUCCCUAGGGAGGGAGGAGGGGGGAAAUUUUGAAAAUGGGCGGAAGCCCUAACCAAGAAAGCCGGGUGGGGGAAGAAGGCCUUUGGGGUGGAAAGGACUUUUGGCGGGAACGAAAAGGACUGGGCCAAUACCACGGUUCGAUGACGGUACCCGCAAGAUAAGGACCGGCUAACUACGUG